UCNUGGCUCACGACNANCGNUGCCGGCGUGCUUUAUACAUGCAAGUCNAACGAAGCANUUUGUGUUUACAUGAAUUGACUUACUGGCGGACGGGUGAGUAACGCGUGAACAACCUGCCUUUAAGAGGGGGACAACAGCCGGAAACGGCUGCUAAUACCGCAUGAUAUCUUAAUACCGCAUGGUAAUAANAUCAAAGAUUUUAUCGCUUAAAGAGGGGUUCUNGUAUCAUUAGCUAGUUGGUGGGGUAAAAGCCUACCAAGGCGACNAUGAUUAGCCGGCCUGAGAGGGUGAACNGUCNCACUGGAACUGAGACACGGUCCANACUCCUACGGGAGGCAGCAGUAGGGUAAU
rnacentral:rRNA from 1 species